CUAGUCAAGCAGGGCCACCUAGAGCAGGUUGCUCAGGACCAUGUCCAGAUGGCUUUUGAAUAUCUCUCCAAGGUGGGAGAAUUUUUUCAUGGAGAGGUUGGUCAAGAGGUUGGCUGAUCCUGCUGGUGCCCCAAGAUAAGCACUGAGGGUCACAGUUUGUUGCUUGGUGAUGUCACAACCCUUCACUCAGUGAUAUCACCAUGUCACUAUCUGCCCUGCAGGUGCCAGUGGCACUGGACCCCAGCUGUGAUGGGGAGCUGAGCAGGGCCUGGUGUCCCCCGUCUAGUGCCUGCAGGGUGCUGGGGUGGCCCAGCACUGGUCAUGCCGGGGCUCUAUGCUGCAGGGGUGAUGGCAGCAGGGUCUGGGAAAGGAUCGUGGCUGAAAGGAUCGCUAGCAAAACAUGAGCUGUUCUGAUGCUUCCUGUAUGUCCCUGAGCCUUGGGCACCUGAGGGGAUGGGUCCUGAGUAGCUCUGCAUGGGGAGCUUAGCAAAGCUGGGGCCCCAGGAAUCAUUGCCUGGAGAUCUCCUGAGGAAGCUGGAGAAGGAUUGGAAAGGAUUUCUACCUGUCAGAAAGUCUUCCCAGAUAUUCAUCAAGAACCCUCUCAUCUUCAGUCUUUGCCCAUUGCCUGUUCACCUCUCUGGGACCACUGGGAUGCAAACGAGGUUCAGAAUUGAAAGUGAGGGCAGAAAAAAAAAAAAAAAAAAAAAAAAAAACAUUUGGAGGUGAAAUUUGGAAUGAAGCACAGUUCCUUAGAGACAGUGGAAUAUAUCUGUGGAAGGCAUUGAAAAUCACAAAGGGAGGACAGACAGGUCAUACAAGAGGGAAGAUAAUCUUGGGUUCCUUGAACUGAUCUCCAAGGGAGCCAGUCUCAUUUCUCUGACCAGAGAGAGAGAGAGAGAGAGAGAAUACAUUAACGGUGAUGAAUACUUCCCUUUAUCUCAUCUUAUCACCUUGUGAACAAGUCAUGUGUCAAAGGAUAUUAAUUUCUGCAAUGACAUUAGGACAUGUCAAUGGACACAAGAGGAUGAAGGGAAACUUUCUUUAUCCGAGAGGAAGCUGUGGGCAUUGCUAUUUCCCUGGCUGGAAAGUGUGCAGUUAAUGACAGGUUGGGUCUAAGACAACAAAUGCAGUAAAAAAUGCCUUAUGUGCCCAAAGGAAAUUUAUAGGGAAAUGUGUUAAUGUACUAAUAAGAUUCAUCUGUAGUUGACAUAUCAAAGAUAAAUGUCAACUUAUCUAUUUGUUAAUGGAUCUA